GACGAACGCUGGCGGCGUGCCUAAUACAUGCAAGUAGAACGCACAGUUUAUACCGUAGCUUGCUACACCAUAAACUGUGAGUUGCGAACGGGUGAGUAACGCGUAGGUAACCUGCCUGGUAGCGGGGGAUAACUAUUGGAAACGAUAGCUAAUACCGCAUAAUAUUAAUUAUUGCAUGAUAAUUGAUUGAAAGAUGCAAUUGCAUCACUACCAGAUGGACCUGCGUUGUAUUAGCUAGUAGGUGAGGUAACGGCUCACCUAGGCGACGAUACAUAGCCGACCUGAGAGGGUGAUCGGCCACACUGGGACUGAGACACGGCCCAGACUCCUACGGGAGGCAGCAGUAGGGAAUCUUCGGCAAUAGACGAAAGUCUGACCGAGCAACGCCGCGGGAGUGAAGAAGGUUUUCGGAUCGGAAAGCUCUGUUGUAAGAGAAGAACGGGUGUGAGAGUGGAAAGUUCACACUGUGACGGUAUCUUACCAGAAAGGGACGGCUAACUACGUG
rnacentral:rRNA from 1 species